UCUGAGAGGAUGACCAGCCUCACUGGAACUGAGACACGGUCCAGACUCGUACGGGAGGCAGCAGUGGGGAAUAUUGCACAAUGGGCGCAAGCCUGAUGCAGCCAUGCCGCGUGUAUGAAAAAGGCCUUCGGGUUGUAAAGUACUUUCAGCGGGGAGGAAGGCGAUAAGGUUAAUAACCUUGUCGAUUGACGUUACCCGCAGAAGAAGCACGGGCUAACUCCGUGCCAGCAGCCGCGGUAAUACGGAGGGUGCAAGCGUUAAUCGGAA
rnacentral:rRNA from 1 species